UCGGCUGGAGGAAGAAACAAAAACCCAUGAAGAAAGAAAGCCCAUAUUACUGCAAACCUCCUGUACACCCAAUUCUACAGUCUCAGCUGGUCCUUUUCUGCAUUACAGAGCUCAGAGGCUCAGAAGUGCAAAACAGCACUGCCAUACCAGCAUGUACGCAAGUAGCAGCCUCCCAGCCCGUUUGUGGAAGCCAUGACACAUCCACAUCUCUAACAACUGAAGGGGUUUCAGCUCUUGGUGCACUGAUGCAUAAGAGGUACCUGUUAGACAGAGGCGUCCUCUCCACACAUCUGAUCUGGAUGGUGCUGAGCUCUUGUACACUGCCUUGACGGCUGCCAGCAAUGGUGGUGUUUGGGAUGCGGGACCUCAGUGUCUAAAAUGAAGCCAACGACUCUGAAGCUUUGCACCUACAUCUGGAUUAAACAUUCGAAUCUUCAAAAUGAGAUGCUUGGGGAUCCUCCCGUGCAGUCGCUUCGGCAAGAACUGUACUCAUGGUAGAGGAAACACUCAGCAGCUCUCUACACCAAAGGUUUGACUCCACAGUUUUAAAUAUGUAAGGACUAUAAAUGAUGUCUCCUGAACUGACUGCAGAAAAGUGCAGAUGUUAGCAUUAUGGAGUGUAUGAAAACCACUCUGAAGGCCACGUUUGCCCCUAGACUAGACUCAUGUCAUGGUAUCUUUCACUUUACAUGAGGCUGUCAUCCAGGCUCUCUCUCUCUCACUUACAUUCAGAGGGUAUAAUGUUUUAAAAUAUGAUAAAACGGCUUCUCUUCACAGCUAAUCACUUUCACAUAAAGGCUUAUUAAUUAGAAGAAAUACUGAAAACAUUCAGAACUACACUGAUGUUGGAAUUUACAGGAAAACACACUUUUUUUUUCUUACCGUAGUUUUUUCCAGGCAGUGAAGCAGGUGGUGGUGCUGUGUUUCAAAGGAAGAGCCAGAUUUGCUAACAAAGGCCUGUUCUUCUUCACUGGAGGACUGUUAAUACAAAAAAAUCUGUAUUAUUCUCAUUUAUGAACAAGAGGGCUCCUAUCCAAAUAUUUGAUCAGAACUAAUCUGGAUUAUAUACUGCAGCAUAACGUCUCAUCUACAUGGGAUAACACAAAUGAUCUUGGAUGCAAUUACUCUUUUGCUUUUGAUUUAAAUAUAUAUAUAUA